UGAUACCUGGAGUUUGAAUCUGCGGGCGUCCAGGCUGGCGGCGCCCUUGCACAGCAGCAUGUGGCGACUGGUCCCUUCGCUGGAUCUACGGCAGGCGGCGCCCUUCCACAGCAGCAUGUGGCGACUGAUUCCUUCUCUGGAUCUACGGCAGGCGGCGCCCCUUCCACAGCAGCAUGUAGCGACUGGUCCCUUCGCUGGAUCUGCGGGCGUCCAGGCUGGCGGCGCCCUUCCACAUCCUGAGGCGGCUUAAUACCUGCUCUGACGAGCAUCAUGGUCCGCAGACUUGUGGCGAUCUACCGGGACAUCCUUCUCACAGCAUCCCAAGAAACAGAAAGCAGAUCGUACGAAUAAACAACUCGGGAAGAAGAGGGAGGCUAAAUUUAUGGAGCAAAAGGAGAUAAAUGAGCUCUCAACAUUAGACCGGAAUGCCAGGCAAGCUGCGCAGGAGGUGCAGUGGGCCAGAAAUCAAAUGGAAAAAAAUAUACGGGCCGAUCGGGCGGCCCAAUCAGCUCACGCGGCCCAGUUAGCUUGGGCGGCCCGCCGGCAGGAGGAGGCCCGCCGGCAGGAGGAGGCCCGCCGGCAGGAGGAGGCCCGCCGGCAGGAGGAGGCCCGCCGGCAGGAGGAGACCCGCCGGCAGGAGGAGGACCGCAGGCGGCGGGAGGCCCAGUUGGCGGAGUGGGCCCAAGCUGCCUAUGAGGUGCAGCAGGCGCAGCUGGCGGAGCUGCGAGGAGCUCCGCAGCAGUAGAGCUCAGCGCAGCGGCUCUGCCCCUUGCCACGGACACCAGGCAGGGCAGAGUCGUGCGCUCCGCCACCCCCUUACCACCCCCUUGCCACAGAGGCGACUGCAGUAGGCGGAGGAAAAAGCGGGAAGAAGAGGAAGAAGGAGUAAGGAGAGGAAGAAGGAGUAAGAAGAGGAAGAAGGAGGAACAAGAGGAAGAGAAGACCGUCCCCACCGUCGUUGAUGUUUAAGGAUUACCCAAAUUGUUUUUCCUUAUUUCUGUAGCACUGUUUUAUCUUCCUUUUAGAAUAGAUGUCAUGUAAGGUGUAAAAUCUACGCGUAUGUACCUGUCUAUAUCUGAAUA